rnacentral:rRNA from 1 species
UACAUGGGGUGCAAACGUUGCUCGGAAUUAUUGGGCGUAAAGCGCACGUAGGCGGUUUGUUAAGUCGGAUGUGAAAUCCCUCGGCUCAACUGAGGAAGUGCAUCCGAAACUGGCAGGCUUGAGUACUAAAGAGGGUCGCGGAAUUCCCGGUGUAGAGGUGAAAUGCGUAGAUAUCUGGAGGAACACCGAUGGCGAAGGCAGGUCUCUGGGCAUUAACUGACGCUGAGGAGCGAAAGCAUGGGGAGCGAACAGG